CUCAAUAAUUGUGUGUGGGUGCAUGUGUGCACGUGUACGUGUGAGUGCCUGUGUGUGUGCAUUGUGUGUAGGGGCUGGGGCUGGGGUCGACAACAGAUCAGAGCACAGGAGUAGAGCGCUUCUGGGAGGGUGGGGUCACCCGUGAGUCACGUCCUGCACCCUGGAGCCCAGAGGACCCUUCGCUCAAACCCACCACCAGCUGGCAACACCGGACCAGCCAGAGCCGCUUUCUUCGCUGCGCAGAGGAGCCUGGGAGAAGCCAGAGGUGCUUGAGGAUGGAUUCUUGGCUCCUGGUGCAUUGCCACUCCCUGCCACCCUCCUCCUUGUCUUCUGUCUUCUCCUGGUGGCUUCAGGCCUUGCUUCAUGUCCCAAAAGGAGCCUCUGGGGCUGGCACAGCCCUCACUGCCUACAACCUGGGCCUGGUGGUUCUCCUAGGGUGCCUCUGGGAGGUCAUGGCCACCCCGCUGCUGGCUAACUGCAGCUACUUCUGCCAGCCAGUGGACUACAGAUGGAGCAAGCAUGGAAUGAGGGUAUGGCAGGGAGCAGGAAGCAAGCCUAGAGAGGGUUAGGAGGAACAACUUCAUAACAAUCGGAGGUCAAGGAGGCAUCUUCCUGGAGACAGGAAGGUAGGCAUUGUGGAAUCAGCGGUGCGUAGAACAGUGAGGAUUUGGGGCUGAACCCAGCCCAGGUGGGACAAGCCGUGGCACCAGCCGGACUGCAGUCUGAUGGAACUUCCCCUUCCUGCCCAGCAGAUGGCGAGCGUGUGCUGCUGGUGCCUCUUUCCAAAGGACGUUGAAUUGCUUGACAGGUGUUCCAGGUGUUCUUUACUUUAUGAAUGAAGCCGGAGCAGCCCACCUUCCUGCAUCUCUACCACCAUGGCACCAUGCCCUGUGAUGGGUGGGCUGGAGUCAAAUACGUAGCAGGCAACCAGGGUCAGUUUGUGGCCACUGCUGCCCCCUCUUCCUACAGUCUCCUCACUGAGUGCCCCUUCCCUGUUGGGUUCAACACAUCUGUGCUCCUGUAAGCCCUCAGCCUCCUGGUUCUCUUCCUCAACUUCUACCACCAGACACAUCUGAGAAGCAAGCAAGAGAGGCUGAACUAGGAGCAGGACCCAGGGACUGAAACCAUCACAGCAUCCCCACAGAGAAUUGGGUGGAAGGCAGCGUGGCUUCCAGCUUACUGGUGCUGAGCAGAUUUCUCUGGGUCUCCAUUGUAUCCUCUGAAGGAAGGAGGAGGAUUGCCUUCUGUCCAGAUCUCAGGAUCAAACAAAUAGGUCCAACUUCCUGUGCUCACUUCAGUUAGAGCACUUCUCAUGUGACUUUGUAGCUUUGUGUGCAUCUCCUUCCUCUACUAGACCUAAGCCCCUCACGGGAGGGACUCUCUUAUUCUUGA
rnacentral:sRNA from 1 species